AGCUUGACGUUAAAGACAAAGUUUUCGUUAAGGCGUUGGCUCGCUCUCGAGUCGCUUUUGUCGUCUGUCGUCGUCGUCCCGUUGGGUGGUUUACGGGGUUUGGGAGGCGAGGGAGGAGAAGAUCCCAAAGGAGGAGGGGCAGGCGCGGCGGGCGGGCGGGUACCGGCGGUGGAGGCCGCUGCGGGGCCAGGGCGGGCGGUACGGCCUGGAGCAGGCACUGGUGGAGAUGAAGCCGCCGUAGUUGCUGCGGUAGCGCCGGGAGUGGCGGAGGGAGGGCCUGCCAUGGCUGUAGUGGGUGCAGGAGAGGCAGCAGUCGAGGCGGAGGUAGAGGAAGAAGUGGCUGAUGGCGGGCCCGGAGAGGAACGGUCGGCUCCUCCAGGCGGCGCAGCAGCGGCCCCUCCUGCCCCGCGGGAGCCGCCACCGGGGCCCCGCCGACUACGCCCACCACCUCUCCUGGCCCCUUCCCGAUUCCCACUGCGCCUACCGGCACGGCGAGUCCCUGUGCCUCCUCCUCUUGGACGAGCUGGUGGAGCUCGGCACGGAGCUGAAAUAGCUGCUCCCCUCCUUCCGCCCGUCGCACGAGCACGUAACGAAGCGCCCCCAGAGCUCCUCACGAUGGUAGUAGUGCCGUAUAGAUUACUCUUGUCUCGUCUUUAGAGACCUACUUCGUGAUCUCAGGAACUUCCUUUAAUUACUCAGGCAAACGGGUUUGCUGCCAAAGGAACUGGUCAAUUUUAACAAACUUCUUUACCCAAAGUUCUAACUAUGAAGUUCAGGAAAUAUGUCCGCGAAGGCGAACUUUAACAAUCCAGUCAGGAUGUUUCAACCUCUCUUUUAUCCCUUGGUACAUAAACUUCUGCUAGGACCUCAACGAGCUGUCGGAUUAGGAUUGGUCCUUAACAGUCCGUUCCUCUUCUGGGAAUUUUGUCGUAUGGCGACGUUCUUUACGUCCUCCUAGCAACGACGUGUCCUGUUACAAUAGCCGGUGUGAGGACCGCUCCCGUUGAGAUCGAAACGCACCGUGCUGUUCUCCUUUCCGGUGUGUGUGUUGUUCCUUGUUCUAACAAGGAGAGACAUACAGCUCGGAGAUUUCACCUACUGAGGUCAUCUUCUACCACGAAACCUCCCCUUCGACAGCACGUAGGUGACGCCCCGCGCGGAUCCCAUGAAGUUGACCAGUCCCUAGGUCACGUUGACACCGUCGACCUAGUGGGGACGGAAGGUUUAAAGGUUCUCGUUUCAACUACAUUCGUGGUAGAUCUAAAAGAGGGUACCCAAUCGUCUAAGCUCCUCAAGCAGUCCCCCACCACAUCUAUGGUAUAGCAGACUUGGCAGUACGUAACCUAGUGUUCCUCGUUUUCGACCUCGGACGAAGUACGUAAGUGGAUAACAUGAGACUUUAUGACAUGGAGUGUUGUCGAAUGUCCUCUUCAACUUGUGUAGUAUCACUUCGUCAGCGUCUAGGAUUUGCAAAUGAUGGACGAAAAAGUAGUUAAUUCGCCGUUGGACUAUAUAAAAAUUGCAACAUCCCUUAAGUGCUCACACCACAUCACCCUACCUCGCCACACCUCGCCGAACGUUCCCCAUCUUACCCACUCACCUUACUUGAACACCACCUUAUCUCAGCCAACCAAUACUACCCAAUGUGGUGUUUACCCAUAGUCUCAUAUAUAUGUCUCUCAGGCUUUAGACUGCGUUUUUCGUUAAUCCGAGCCUUCACGGCCUUCUUUUGAACACCUUGAUGGAGUUUAUUUAAACUUUGAGGUUCCGUUGUAAGUUUUGGUCUCUUUUACGUUAUGAACUUUCAACUCGCUACCGAGGCUUACUUUUUACGUCAUCCUGGCAUCAUUUGUGUGUGUUAGAGCUUUACUCUUCAACGUCUUUCUCCGA
rnacentral:rRNA from 1 species